UACGUAGGGUGCAAGCGUUAAUCGGAAUUACUGGGCGUAAAGCGUGCGCAGGCGGCUAUGCAAGACAGAUGUGAAAUCCCCGGGCUCAACCUGGGAACUGCAUUUGUGACUGCAUGGCUAGAGUACGGUAGAGGGGGAUGGAAUUCCGCGUGUAGCAGUGAAAUGCGUAGAUAUGCGGAGGAACACCGAUGGCGAAGGCAAUCCCCUGGACCUGUACUGACGCUCAUGCACGAAAGCGUGGGGAUCAAACAGG
rnacentral:rRNA from 1 species